UGUACUCGGAGAUACUCGACGAUUGAUUAAAACAGUUCACCGGUGAAGCAAAAAUAUUCAGACUUAACUGUCAAUAAUUGUGUCUAAAAUGGCCUGUCCAUGCCUGUUAUUGUGCCCGUUUAUGGAUCUUUCUACCAGGCUGGAGCUGUUUUCAGUAGUCCGGGUCUGUCUUGGUUCCUCCGUCUGCGGAACCAGCGCUCCACCUGCCUUUCUGACCAGCCCAAC